AACCGCCGUAUACCGAACGGUACGUACGGUGGUGUGAGAGGACAGAUAGGGAAGUAAUCCCUAUCUUCCUACUCGAU
rnacentral:ncRNA from 1 species